UCUUCCUCCUCGGUUCUCUCUCGGGUCUUAGGGUUUCGUCGAUUUCUUUUUGAGGGGAAUGUUGUCUGGCUCGAGGACGCUUUUCUUAACCCUCUUAGUUUCAGUGUCGUCGGACCAGGCUUCAUUCCCCCCAAUUAAUUCCACCGCCCCUCAACGACGGCAACGACAACGACGAGAUUGGUGUGAUGAUGAAGCUCCUUUUUGACUUUCAGUUGGGAGUCUGCCCAAAAUCCCCUCUUUCUUCAUCAUUAUUGGCUCUUUUUUUGCCCUCUUAGAUCUUGUAAUCAUGCCUUUCUUUCCCUUUUUUGCUUCAUUAUUUGCUCUGUUUCUCUCUCUUCUUGCAUGUCUUGGCGUUCAUGAGUUCAUGAGUUGAUAUCAAUCCAGUUACAAUGAUGGGUGAUGUUCAAAUUGUAAUUCCUAAGGCGGGAUGAAGAAAGAGAAUUUUAUAUGUGUCGUCUCACCAAGGGGGUCACACUGAUGAGGCCUAUGGAGUUACCUGAUGACGUCAUCAUUGAGUCAACAAAGUUGUUGUAUAGUAUAAUUUCUUUUAUAUAUAUUAGGUAUCUUUAUAUAUAUAUUUUUAUUUAUUUUUAAUUUGGGCCUUGGGCUUGGAAAAAGGCAAGAAAAGCCCAAAUUUAUAAAAAAUGUAUAAUUAAUUACAUUUUAA